GUCUUCUCCAGCGGGGAGCUGCGGGGCUCGCGGCGUGAGGCGGCCCGCUGCCCGACAGCUCGGCGGCUCCUCCUCCUCUUCCUCCGCUCCCGGCCGGCCUCUGUGGGACGGGGAUGGAGGGACGGGCCCCGAAAAGCCUCGGCCACGGGAGGCAGAAUGGCCAGAGUACCCCUGCAGAGGGCAGGGGAGUUUUUGUGCCAUGUCCCCCUUCUGUUCGGGGUGCGUUGUGUGAGAGGAAAACCGCGUUGUUGCUGACGUGAUGCCUGUGAAAUACGUGCAUCCCUUUGAUUUUUUUCCCAUUGCUCUUCCCAGCAGAGAAGCAUCCAAACAACUGCCGUAGAGUUUCCUGCACAUCAAAAGGGAUUUUCCAAAUGCUUUUCUCCAACUGGAGUUGUUAGGACUCACCUGACAGUCUGAAGAUUGUCAAAGUGCCUGGCAAAAUCACAGUGAUUAGGUAGGUACAUGGAGGGCAGUGUAUGCUCUGGUGUGAAUGCCCUUUGCAGUGGUUGCUUUUGCAGGAACAGAAAUGGUUCCUCAAUUGUUUCAUAUCCACAUGCAAUCACUUAGCUUUUGGCCAGAUAAAUGCCCCCUGAAGAGUGGAAAACCAGAGGAGCAAAAUAAUUGCAGAUAGUUCUGUUUCUGUGUGUUAAUUUUCAAAGGUUAAUGAAAUUAAAAACACAAUAAUAAGUGCUUUCAAUACAUUUUUGUUUGUGUUGACAAGUCCUUGUCAGUAGCUAAUGUGAAAGAGACAUUACUGUACAGUGUUGUUACAAUGUUAUAACCUACUAAACAGAGAUUUUCAAAGGGAUCUCCAAGUAAGUUAUGACCCUUACAACUGGAAUUUGAACAGAGGAUUGCUGACAACAUGCCAAGGAGACUUCAGAAAUAACACAACCAUCACAUGUGAUAAUCUAUGUGGAACAAAAGAGAAUUGAAGAAUAUUCAGGAGAUAAUAAGAUUAUCUGGGAGGACUAUAGGACGAAUACUUGAUGGGCUACUGCUGUAGUAACUCUUGGGCAGAGACCUUGGUACAUGAAGCCAGAAGGGCCACAGAUGCUCAUAGAUCCAGCUGUAAGGAUCUGUAUGGAUUCUAGAUGGUUCCCAUUUUAAAGGUUUGGACAAUGCUGAAUUAAAGAAUUCAACCACGUGAUUUGCUGAGAGGGGCCAACCUUCCUUUGAGGUGUUAGCUGAAUCAAGAUUAUCUGGUAGGUCUUAGACAACAUUUGGUUUCGGCUGAAGGACAGACAACAAGACACAUUACAUACAUGUCAGACUCUAAGCUGUUAACCCCAGGCUGUGUUUCAAAGCCCAGCCCCGUCAGUCACUAGGCAUUUGGUCACCGGAGUUAGGCAUUUCACACAACCAUUUAGGCUGUAUCAACUGCACUUCCAUAAAGCCUGCAGCUCAUUCUCUACAGCAUGCAGUCUCACUCUCAUUUGGGUACCAUCAUGCACUGGGUUCAUGACUUGCUGCCCAGCUGCUUUUUAGUGUUCAAGAGCAGAAGAGUAGCUGUGGAACUAGCCACAGCGGGGAUGUGCGUGGGGUGGAAUGAUGGUGUGAAAAGCUUUCUAGAAAGUUUUCUAUAACUGAAAUCCCACAAGGCAACUUCUCCCCUUUGUGUCCCCCUGAACCCUUGCAUACUUCUCAGGAGUUUCCUGCAUUGGCCAUCAGAAAGCCAAAAGAGUUGCAGUCUCGGAUUACAGGAGAAAAACAAUUGCUGUACUUUUUAAGUGUUGAUACGCGUGGUUUUUCCUGAUGUGAGAUACUAACUUCAUCUGGGAAUUGCUGAGGUCUGUGAAAGCAAAAAGUAACAUAAGAUCCUUUUAUGCUGUAUGAGAGGACAAUUGCUGAGACAAUAAUUUUGGGAUAGCUACUUAGGAUAAAAAGCCAAGAACUUUUACACUCAGUUCAAUGUGGUUUAUGUUAAUACACAACCACUAUAAAACAAAGCAUUUUAAUAAGUUACAUUUUUUAAUUUUGGACUUUGCUCUUAAAGUUUAUAUUGUUACUAUAAACCCUAAUAAAAAUGGUGCUUUAUAUGGUAUUGUUGGAUUUCAUUUAGCAAAGCUAUUUUACUAACAUCAAACUGAAUUAUGGGUAUUUUUUAUUUUUCUAUUUCAAAUCAUAAUGGUCUGAGACUUGAAAUUUGGGAUUGUCAUAAUAUGCUUUUAAGGUGCAGAAGCAGGCAUGCGUUUUUUUAAGAUCCCUUCAGCAA